rnacentral:rRNA from 1 species
UACGGAGGGUGCGAGCGUUGUCCGGAAUCACUGGGCGUAAAGGGCGCGUAGGCGGUGCGAGAAGCGUGUGGUGAAAGGCCGGGGCUCAACUCCGGCUCGGCCGUGCGGACUCUCGCGCUUGAUGAGUGCUGUAGAGGCGGGCGGAAUUUCCGGUGUAGCGGUGAAAUGCGUAGAUAUCGGAAGGAACAUCAGUGGCGAAAGCGGCUUCCUGGACCAGCACCGACGUUCAGGCACGAAAGCGUGGGGAGCAAACAGG